GUUCCUGUAACGCAAUGGAUAGCGACUGGACUUCUAAUUCAAAGGUCGUGGGUGCGAAUCCCACAUGGAAUG